GAGUUUGAUCUUGGCUCAGAGCGAACGCUGGCGGCAGGCCUAACACAUGCAAGUCGAACGGCUCUUCGGAGCAGUGGCGGACGGGUGAGUAACGCGUGGGAACGUGCCCUUUGGUUCGGAACAACACAGGGAAACUUGUGCUAAUACCGGAUGUGCCCUUCGGGGGAAAGAUUUAUCGCCAUUGGAGCGGCCCGCGUUGGAUUAGGUAGUUGGUGGGGUAAAGGCCCACCAAGCCUACGAUCCAUAGCUGGUCUGAGAGGAUGAUCAGCCACACUGGGACUGAGACACGGCCCAGACUCCUACGGGAGGCAGCAGUGGGGAAUCUUGCGCAAUGGGCGAAAGCCUGACGCAGCCAUGCCGCGUGAAUGAUGAAGGUCUUAGGAUUGUAAAAUUCUUUCACCGGGGAAGAUAAUGACGGUACCCGGAGAAGAAGCCCCGGCUAACUUCGUGCCAGCCGCCGCCGUAAU
rnacentral:rRNA from 1 species